rnacentral:rRNA from 1 species
AUUGAACGCUGGCGGCAGGCCUAACACAUGCAAGUCGAGCGGUAACAGAAAGUAGCUUGCUACUUUGCUGACGAGCGGCGGACGGGUGAGUAAUGCUUGGGAACAUGCCUUGAGGUGGGGGACAACAGUUGGAAACGACUGCUAAUACCGCAUAAUGUCUACGGACCAAAGGGGGCUUCGGCUCUCGCCUUUAGAUUGGCCCAAGUGGGAUUAGCUAGUUGGUGAGGUAAUGGCUCACCAAGGCGACGAUCCCUAGCUGGUUUGAGAGGAUGAUCAGCCACACUGGGACUGAGACACGGCCCAGACUCCUACGGGAGGCAGCAGUGGGGAAUAUUGCACAAUGGGCGCAAGCCUGAUGCAGCCAUGCCGCGUGUGUGAAGAAGGCCUUCGGGUUGUAAAGCACUUUCAGUCAGGAGGAAAGGUUAGUAGUUAAUACCUGCUAGCUGUGACGUUACUGACAGAAGAAGCACCGGCUAACUCCGUGCCAGCAGCCGCGGUAAUACGGAGGGUGCGAGCGUUAAUCGGAAUUACUGGGCGUAAAGCGUACGCAGGCGGUUUGUUAAGCGAGAUGUGAAAGCCCCGGGCUCAACCUGGGAACUGCAUUUCGAACUGGCAAACUAGAGUGUGAUAGAGGGUGGUAGAAUUUCAGGUGUAGCGGUGAAAUGCGUAGAGAUCUGAAGGAAUACCGAUGGCGAAGGCAGCCACCUGGGUCAACACUGACGCUCAUGUACGAAAGCGUGGGGAGCAAACGGGAUUAGAUACCCCGGUAGUC